GCAGGUCGCGAUGCUGCUUGGCACUUAGGCAAGGGCCAGGCUCCCUGGCAUGGGGAUUUCCUUUCCUUUCUUAGCCGCUGAAUAUUAUUUCCCUCUCCUCUAGACGGCCCCAUAGCCGAAGGUUUGCAAGCAGGUUGCAGCGCUGCGCGGGAUGCCAUCGAACACAGAAGAAAAUGGAAAUACAACAAAACCACAGAAUUGCCCUACAAAAUUUUAAAUCCAAAUCAGCUUCCUUCCAACCCGCCCAAAUUGUGCUGCUCUCAACAGCAGCGCCAAGACGGAGCUUUGGUGGGACCUCCUCCAGCCAGGGCUGAAUUCAAACUCCAUUUUGAUCCUUCCUCCUCGAACUAGUCCACCUUUCCCUGUUGGCCUUGCUGCAGGACACUGGCAGUGAGGCUCUGAAUAUAUUCUUCACAGUGAAAUACCCCAACAGUGGCAUUUAGAAACGAUUUGUGAAAAUGUGGUUUUUCCAAACAGGUUUUAUGCUUUCACUUGUUCCUGUGAUUGCAGGUACAAGUUUCUCUCAGAAGUAGCUGCUGAAGUUCCCUGGACCGCUCCACUUUCUCCUUUUGCUAGCUCCAAUGAUAGGAAAGCUGGGCACACAGCCAAACCCACAGUUCUGCUCUUUUCUAAGAUAAGCAGCACUUGGAAUUCAGGUGUGCCGUGGAAAGGCUCUCUACCGAAUGCGUUUCAGGAAAAAAAGACAGAGGUUAAAAGUCCCCGCUGCCCUGCACUAUGCAUUUAUCAAGCAAUUAAGUGGUUCUGCAAGCAAGCAAUAUUGAUUGCAAACUGUUUUGACUUUGCCCUUACAUUUAGUUUAUGCAGCUGCCUGUUGGCAAGCUUGGUUCACAAAAGAAAACAGCACCAAGUUUCCAGGUGUCAAAUUUUAUUAAGUCCCAACAAGCUCUUUGACAAACAUGAUUUAAGUGCGGCGUGCAAUAAAAGUUAGGGUUUCCUGGAUGUUUCAAGCGUAUGAGUUGUGCGGAUGGCUUCUGGAAGACCUUAAGACCUUCAUUUUGUGCAGCUUGUAAAGGGAGAAACUUUUUUUUCCUUUAGAAAUCUGGACCUUCUUUCUUCAGCUUGUUGUAGUCCACAUUAACCGCAAAGAACUAUAAAAGGGAGCAGUUGGGAUACAAAGAUCAUGUUUAUGCAAACUUAUUUCUGGUUUUCGCAUGCCUGCGGUCUCUUUUAGUAACAAGGUUGGAAGCUGGCUUUUACACAAAGCCAAAUAUGGGAGAAAGGGAGCUUUCUACUUCCUUUGCCAGACAGGCUGGGAUGCCUUAAAUAUGACUGUCAUGCAAGUGCAGCCAUACGAACAUCUGUGCCUUAGACAAGAAAAAAAAGAUUGUAAAAAAUCUUGUGCUUUAAGGAGGUACCCUUUUCUGUAAAAUACACUAUAUUACUGCUUAGUACAAAAAAAGCGCUCUAGUCCUGCAGCUUCAUCUGUAAUUUUGCAUGCAGAAUCCAGAAUCAAUUAGCUCCAAACAGUGUCACUUUUUAAAAUGUCUAGUUUGUUGUUUGCUCUAGUAAAAAGAUAAAUAAAUAAGCUGGCAGAACUAGCCUUGCUAAGUUUUACAGUUCUGCACAAUCCACCCAUCUUUACAGAAAUCAGUGGGGGGGGGCAUCC